GUGGGGAAUCUUGCGCAAUGGGCGAAAGCCUGACGCAGCCAUGCCGCGUGAAUGAUGAAGGUCUUAGGAUUGUAAAAUUCUUUCACCGGGGACGAUAAUGACGCUACCCGGAGAAGAAGCUCCGGCUAACUUCGUGCCAGCAGCCGCGGUAAUACGAAGGGGGCUAGCGUUGCUCGGAAUUACUGGGCGUAAAGGGCGCGUAGGCGGACAGCUUAGUCAGAGGUGAAAGCCCAGGGCUCAACCUUGGAAUUGCCUUUGAUACUGGCUGUCUUGAGUUUGGGAGAGGUGAGUGGAACUCCGAGUGUAGAGGUGAAAUUCGUAGAUAUUCGGAAGAACACCAGUGGCGAAGGCGACUCACUGGCCCAAUACUGACGCUGAGGCGCGAAAGCGUGGGGAGCAAACAGGAUUAGAUACCCUUGUAGUCC
rnacentral:rRNA from 1 species